rnacentral:lncRNA from 1 species
AAUAAAUGACUUAGCAUCUUUACCAUCAUCGACAUAACUCUGAUACUGCCUAUAUAUCUCUCAAGAGUGUUUUAAAGAUUGCUACACAUCUUAAUGCAGCACCACUAUUGAUAGGAGCAAUGUUGGAGUCUUUUGAAUCAGGAUCAACUAGGUGGCUCAAAGCUUGUAAGCUUAGGUGGCUUAGCAUAUGCUGGGUUAACAUUGAAACGGUCAGAGUAAACAAGUUGAGUUAGAAUUUCAGCAUAAUAGGUCUAACUAUACUUGAUCCUGGUGGCCUUCUUCUUAGAAGUUCAACCAACACCUCUGCCUUUGGAGGUUGGAGUCUUUAAGAUCAUAAACCAAUAUCGAGUCCGAGGAUGGGUCAUUUACAUACAAUUUUGUACCAAUAACCUCUUAUGUCCAUGACUUUAUGUUAUUUCGUUAUUUUACACGUUGAACUAUGUUUACUUAAUUUUUUUUCUAAUGCUAUUCAUCAUGAGAACCCUCCAAAGAAGGUAUUGAAACACAGUCUCGAACAAUUCGAAUUAUAUAAUCCGAACGGUUAUUGAGAUUUUCGGCAUAUAUAUUCUGAGCCAUCCCAGAUUAUGGAUGAUGGCAUUACACCAAAGGUUUUGACGGUUUGUGGUGUGUUUAAUGUAUUUUUGGUCGGUUUAGGCAUCGUAAACGUAUCCUUUGAAUGUAGUUACAGUCUAGGAUAAUUUUAUGGCUAUAAAUAGUCUUGCAUGUUAUAACAUAUUAAUUCAUUCUUCACUUCUCAUCCUUUCUUACUUUUUCUAUCUCUUUUUUCAGUUAUGAGUGUUUAUGAUAUCAUGAUCGUUGCGAACCAUACGACGGUCAACAUGGACCUUUGAUAUCGAUUACGAGAUAUUUUCGUUGUUUUGCUAGGUUUCAAAUUAUAUAAUGAAAACCCCCCUACAAUCUCCUUCGGAUUUCAUAAUUAGAAAAGAGGGGGUUUUAAUAAUAUAAUAUUUAAUGUUUUUUUUUAAGUUCAAUAUUUUUUUUAGGGAACAAUACUUUAGUUUUUAUCAGGCCUAAUUUGUAAGAUUAAAAUUGAGUUUUACUUUUCCCAUCCUAUGCCUUUCCUUGCGCGCCCUAUUUUUUUCCAAAAUUAUCCUCAUACAUUCUAGAUUAUAUAAUUCAGAUUGCACCAGUACACAUAACUGAAAUAGAUUUGCAUGUCAUUGUCGUUUUUAUCAUUGUGUUUCAAAGUGUCUUUUAGCAACCCACACCUUAAGGUGUGAUUUCCACUUUUUAGUAUAACUUUGGUAAAAG